CCUACGGGAGGCAGCAGUGGGGAAUUUUGCGCAAUGGGGGCAACCCUGACGCAGCCACGCCGCGUGAGUGAUGAAGGCCUUCGGGUCGUAAAGCUCUGUCAGAGGGGAAGAAGUGCAGGUGGUGAACAACCAUUCUGUUUGACGGUACCCUCAAAGGAAGCACCGGCUAACUCCGUGCCAGCAGCCGCGGUAAUACGGAGGGUGCGAGCGUUGUUCGGAAUUAUUGGGCGUAAAGCGCGUGUAGGCGGUUUGUUAAGUCGGAGGUAAAAGCCCCGGGCGCAACCUGGAAAGGGCAUUGGAUACGGGCAGACUUGAGUACGGGAGAGGAGAGUGGAAUUCCCAGUGUAGGAGUAAAAUCCGUAGAUAUUGGGAGGAACACCGGUGGCGAAGGCGGCUCUCUGGACCGAUACUGACGCUGAGACGCGAAAGCGUGGGGAGCAAACAGGAUUAGAUCCCCUUGUAGU
rnacentral:rRNA from 1 species